rnacentral:rRNA from 1 species
UACAGAGACCUCAAGCGUUAUCCGGAAUCAUUGGGCGUAAAGCGUACCGAUAGGUGGUUUAGAAAGUCAGAAGUGAAAUCUCCGAGCUUAACUCGGAAUCUGUCUUUUGAAACUUCUAAACUAGAAGGGCAAAGAGGAAGCUGGAACGAACGGUGUAGUAGUGAAAUGCGUUGAUAUCGUUCGGAACACCAAUAGCGUAGGCAGGCUUCUGGGUGCCACUUGACACUGCUAGGACGAAAGCGUGGGGAGCGAAUGGG